rnacentral:rRNA from 1 species
GACGAACGCUGGCGGCGUGCCUAACACAUGCAAGUCGAACGGAAAGGCCCUGCUUUUGUGGGGUGCUCUAGUGGCGAACGGGUGAGUAACACGUGAGUAACCUGCCCUUGACUUUGGGAUAACUUCAGGAAACUGGGGCUAAUACCGGAUAGGAGCUCCUGCUGCAUGGUGGGGGUUGGAAAGUUUCGGCGGUUGGGGAUGGACUCGCGGCUUAUCAGCUUGUUGGUGGGGUAGUGGCUUACCAAGGCUUUGACGGGUAGCCGGCCUGAGAGGGUGACCGGCCACAUUGGGACUGAGAUACGGCCCAGACUCCUACGGGAGGCAGCAGUGGGGAAUAUUGCACAAUGGGCGGAAGCCUGAUGCAGCAACGCCGCGUGCGGGAUGACGGCCUUCGGGUUGUAAACCGCUUUCGCCUGUGACGAAGCGUGAGUGACGGUAAUGGGUAAAGAAGCACCGGCUAACUACGUG